AACGAACGCUGGCGGCAUGCCUAACACAUGCAAGUCGAACGAAGCCUUCGGGCCUAGUGGCGCACGGGUGCGUAACGCGUGGGAAUCUGCCCUUUGGCUCGGAAUAACAGUUGGAAACGACUGCUAAUACCGGAUGAUGACGAAAGUCCAAAGAUUUAUCGCCAGAGGAUGAGCCCGCGUAGGAUUAGCUAGUUGGUGUGGUAAAGGCGCACCAAGGCGACGAUCCUUAGCUGGUCUGAGAGGACGAUCAGCCACACUGGGAAUGCGACACGGCCCUGACUCCUACGGGAGGUAGCAGUGGGGAAUAUUCGACAAUGGGCUGAAGCCUGAUCCAGCAAUGCCGCGUGAGUGAUGAAGGCCCUAGGGUUGUAAAGCUCUUUUACCCGGGAUGAUAAUGACAGUACCGGGGGAAUAAGCCCCGGCUAACUCCGUGCCAGCCGCCGCCGUAA
rnacentral:rRNA from 1 species